CGGCACUCCGGAGAAUCCCGAUCGAUCGGGUGCCGAAGGGGCAAGCGCGCAUAUCCGCGCGUCAAUCUCUCAGGCAAAAGGACGGAGCU
rnacentral:ncRNA from 1 species